rnacentral:sRNA from 1 species
UUGUAUAUGUACAUAAUUGAUUGGAUGU